rnacentral:rRNA from 1 species
GAUGAACGCUGGCGGCGUGCUUAACACAUGCAAGUCGAACGGAAAGGCUCCUGCUUGCAGGGGUACUCGAGUGGCGAACGGGUGAGUAACACGUGGGUGAUCUGCCCUGCACUUCGGGAUAAGCCUAGGAAACUGGGUCUAAUACCGGAUAGGACGAUGGUUUGGAUGCCAUUGUGGAAAGUUUUUUCGGUGUGGGAUGAGCUCGCGGCCUAUCAGCUUGUUGGUGGGGUAAUGGCCUACCAAGGCGUCGACGGGUAGCCGGCCUGAGAGGGUGUACGGCCACAUUGGGACUGAGAUACGGCCCAGACUCCUACGGGAGGCAGCAGUGGGGAAUAUUGCACAAUGGGCGCAAGCCUGAUGCAGCGACGCCGCGUGGGGGAUGACGGCCUUCGGGUUGUAAACUCCUUUCGCUAGGGACGAAGCGCAAGUGACGGUACCUGGAGAAGAAGCACCGGCUAACUACGUG